UAAGUUGUUUAAGACUUGGACAAAAAAAAAUUUUAUAUUCUUCGAGGAUGAAAUAUGAAUGACAAUUAUGCAUGAAACUGUUAUAUAGAAAGAAAAUAUAUUUGAGGAUGAAACUUAAGAGUUUUUCCUUUGUUUACUUGGAAUAUGAAAUAUUAGAUCUUUUCAAAUUACAAUGCAAAAUUGGUAUUUUGAUUGAAAGUCAUUUAGUAAAUUUUGAGAAUAAUUAUCAAUCUUGAAAAAUAUUUGAGGCUCAAAUGUUCUACUAUGGAUAAAGUGCAGUAGUUUAUGAUCCUGCAAUAAAUCAAUCAAAUAAAUAUUAGUUGAUGUUUUGACCAAAAAAAAAAAGAAGGUUUCUACUACGAACAAGGAAGAAAUCAAAGAAGAGAAACAAGUUCAUCAAAAUGAUAUGCAAAAGGCAGAGAAAUGAGGUAUUAAAUAUUCAUAGACAAGUAGUAUUUUGAUCAAAAGUUAUUAGUGAAUCCAAAGGAUUUUGAUGUUUUGAAUCAGAGUGCGCAGCAAAAACAUAGUGGUCUGAAUUAUUUAUCUAAGUUGGUCGGAAGUAUUAUCCCUUUGAUUCGGAAAGUUUUAAUAAUAAAAGAUUUGAUCUAUUUUUUUUUAUGUAGUAGGACUUUCUGGAUAAAUAAAAGGAAAAUGUUUUGAUUUUUUGGAUGUCGCUGUGCUAUCUUGGGUUCUCCAAUUUUAUGUCGUGCUAAAAAAUUCUUAGCAUCUUUUGUCUAGAAUUAAUGGAUCAUCGAUUUUGAUCUUGGAUCUGGAAUAUGUUGGUAUAGACCUCCUUUCUCCUAAAUCUGAAGCUUGAAUUUUUUUUUUUUCAAAUAAUAUCAACCUUCUAUCUGAUUAAAAGAAAUUGAGGUUGUCAAUCGACUUUAAUGAAUAUCUAACAAGGGUGGAUUAGAGUUGUUUAUGACCUAAUCUUGUGAUAGAUCGGUUAAUCGAGAGAAAUUGAUAUUUUGACAAAGAAACUUGAUGUUUUUAUUCAGAAUUAAGACGUUGAUUUUCGAUUAGGAAAGAAAAGUUUGAUUUAAAUCACCUACCAAAAGAAUCAAAUCUGAAAGUAUCGUACCUUAUUCUUUUGAUAAGAUCUAAUAAUGAAGUUGUAUUGAUAAGUAGAAUUUUCGGAAAACUUAAGUUAGUUUUCUAGUGGAGAAGAAUGUUGUUGAUUCUCAGGAUAAUCAUGAUAUCCAUUGCUGUCUAAUGAUCAUUAUUACAUGUUCAUUUUGUGAAUCACAUUACUAACCAUUUAAUGAUUUGACUCUGAUUAAGGCCGGUCGGUAUUUUUUGUGGGGUUAGUACUCUACCAUAAUAAGUGCAUGAAAUCUAUUUUAUUCCGAGAUCUAUCUCAAAUACAAUUAAUUUUAUCAAUCUUGUUGUGAAAUGAUCCCAAUCUGACCUAGUAUAAACUUGCAUCAAGAUAAUGAUUGCAAUCUUAGAUUUUAGUUAGUCACUUAUCUAGUGCUAAUCUUACUCAUAUGUAUAAAAUUUUUGACACUUAACCAAGAGUCAUAUAUCUCACUGAUUUUGAUCAAAGAGAAUGAGAUCAUAGAUUUAUGUUACUCAAUGGGCUGAACAUCGCUAAAUUUGAAAAGACUAGAUUUUGUAAAUUUCGAGGACGAAAUUUUUAUUAAGGAGGAGAGAAUGUAAUAACCGGCCCAAAAUGGGCCAAUCGGGCCGAAGCCGGCGGACCCAACCGGUUUCAGCCCAUGGUUGAAGAAGAGAACUAGACAAGGGAUCGCGAUGCGAUCCUCUGGUCUUCUUCCUCGGGGUAACGGGGGCGAGACUGGAGCGGAAAUAUCGUGGCCUCUUGAAUGGCCUCUGAUUCUGCUCAACCACCGCGAGCAUCACGGCGGUGAACGAGCCACAGCCAUUUUCUUUCUUCCCCGGAGAGGGAUAUAAAAGCCCCCGAUAGCUCACCCGAUCCGAGACCCCCCUCCUCCCUAUUUUCUCCUUUUCCUCGGACCAGGAUGUUGCCAGAUCUAGGCACUCCGGCAGCCUGAUGUUCGCCACCGUCCUCACUCAUGCUGGGUUCUACCUUCGGUAUCCUCCACCAGCGCCUCUCCUCGUCGGACUUCACCACCCGCGCCCCUGCUCUCAUUGGUAAGGUAUAGAGAAUUUGACAGACGAGAUUAGGGUUGUGUGGGCAAAUUGAGAUAAUUAAGGCGAUUAGGAGCGGAAAAGAGUAAAUGAAAAUUGGAGUUGAAGCAUAGUUACAGGGACUCUUAGAAAUAUCUAUGUUAAUAAGUUUAGGUUGUAAUAUUGCAAACUCAAGUAUUUGAUUUAGAUGCUCUGUACUUGCUUUUUUAUGAUUAGUAAAUAAAUUUGAUCAGAUUGGGUCUUAUUUCAUGAAAUAAAACUGUUAUCAUGGGCUUCGUGCUAUUGUGGGCAGCAACCUACAAUAGCACGGCCGUGUCAUAAAUCGGAUCUGGGGUGCGAAAAAUCAUAUCCGGAUUCGGGGCGUGACAGAUUCAGAUUUUUGGUAAUGCACUAUCCAAGAACCAAACUAAAAAUCUCUAACUGCUAAGUAGAGAAGUAUGAAAAUUGGAGCACACAAAAAGAAAAUCUUUACUAAAAUGUGCCUCAUGCUUCAAACAGAAAAUGGAGUUACAGAUUUGCACUUAGCUAGCACAAAGGCAAUAGUAGAUGAAAUCCUGUGUUGGCUGUUGAAAGAUACAAGUUCCUCAUUGAAAAAUCGAAAGAUAUAGCUAAGCAUAUGCUAACCAUUAAGUAUAUCUGGAAGGUCACUUGCUGACAGUAAGUCUAUCAGGUCAUUUCUAAAAUGUGUUCUCACUCUCAAGGAUCUUAUUGUUUACCGAAUAGUCUUUGUAAAAUUAUCGCCAAGGUUCUUUCCCCUAGGAUUGCUCGUUACUUGCCUUUCUUGGUUGCCAUUUGAC